GGGUGUGAAGGUGAUCUGGCUAUGGCAUCCAUCAUCCCAUCAACCACCUGGCUCAUCUGGCUGGCCAGUCACGGUGCCCUCUUCACUUACCAUUCUGUGUGCAUCCGUGCUCAGUGGGAGAGGAUGACAUUUCCCCAUAAAGAAGGAACAUUCUUCCUCCUUUUCUGGCUGUGCUCAACUGCUAGUGUCUCCAAACAAGGUUUCAAAGUCCAAAGGGCUUGGCCAGCCCACCCCCGUGUCUC
rfam:Ictidomys tridecemlineatus contig080413, whole genome shotgun sequence.